rnacentral:rRNA from 1 species
AGUGGGGGAUAACAUUCGGAAACGGAUGCUAAUACCGCAUAUAUUCUUGGACCGCAUGGUUCUGGAAAGAAAGACGGCUUUGCUGUCGCUUUUAGAUGAUCCCGCGGCGUAUUAGUUAGUUGGUGGGGUAAUGGCCUACCAAGACCAUGAUACGUAGCCGACCUGAGAGGGUGAUCGGCCACACUGGGACUGAGACACGGCCCAGACUCCUACGGGAGGCAGCAGUAGGGAAUCUUCCACAAUGGGUGCAAACCUGAUGGAGCAAUGCCGCGUGAAUGAAGAAGGUCUUCGGAUCGUAAAGUUCUGUUAUUAGAGAAGAACAAGUCGAGGAGUAACUGUCUCGACUUUGACGGUACCUAACCAGAAAGUCACGGCUAACUACGUGCCAGCAGCCGCGGUAAUACGUAGGUGACAAGCGUUGUCCGGAAUUAUUGGGCGUAAAGGGAGCGCAGGCGGUUGGAAUAGUCUGAUGUGAAAGCCCACGGCUUAACCGUGGAAGGUCAUUGGAAACUGUCCAACUUGAAUGCAGAAGAGGU